CCAGCACUCAGUGCUCCAUGUACACCGAGUCCUCCACGAGGCUCUUCACUGGAGCUGAUGUUGAUAAGGGCUCCUGGGGACUGAGGGCUCACAGGCACCUGCUGCUCUGCUAAGCGUUCUGCGUGCUUUAUCACACAAACGCUCAGAACAGCACCGAGAGCUGACAGGGACACAAAUGACUCAGCUUAACACGUGACAAGCCUGCGUCUUCACAAGGGAAGGCCUUUCGCACAGUCCCAAGGCCAGGAAGACGGAGGACGAGAACCCAGGAGCCCCCACGUCACCCCUGGGCUGUGCCCCUGCCCUCCAAGGCAUCAGUGACUUGAACAGCCUAGGUAGGGACAAGAAAGGACCUGCCCGUGUCACUCUGGAAGCCAGCCCACCGCAGGCCAGUUCUUACAGCCAGUCCAAGGUGCUUGGCAACGUGGACCUUCUCAAGAAGAAAUUCUGCUUGAAUGGACCAUCUCCAAGGGUUCAAGGCGUCCUUGUCUGCUAAACAGGAAGGCAUGUGUGAUUCUGGCCUCCAGGUGGCUGAGUCCCAGCUAAGAGCCGAGGCAGCCCUGGGCUGUACAGAACCGACAGCAGGGGGUCCUCUGCUUCCUGAAAUGCACAUCUGCCCCAUAGCCAGCCUCCCGCCUUAGGAAAAGCAGCCGGGCUUGUCCCCCAAGCCCACGCAGGCUGUGUCUGUUACUUGCAUCUGGGAUGCCGUGGGGAGUGUGGUACCCAAAGGGUAAGGAGUGUCACCUCGCCUUGGCCAUGUGUGACUCUGGAACUUAAGGACUUCUGUGUCAGAAGAAAGGCACCCCUCUUUGGAACAUUUGCACCUGCAGAACCAGACCCGGGCCCCAGGAUCACGGAAUCCACCGGGGUCAGUAUGAAAUGACCACAGACCUUGCGACCACCAUGGGCCAGCUCCAAUAUGACAAGGCCAUCUGCUGAUGGGCCACAGGCGUUGCCUGCAGAAGGACGCCCAAGGCAACUUGGGUGGAGACAUGGCCAGCUGUGUGACAUUAUAGGGUUUCCAGACCUGGGACCAGGAAGCAGCCACAAGGCUUCCUUCCCUCCAACCAAAGUUCUCAGGGUGCAAAAGGCAGCCUCGCCAACCGGCCUGGCCAAUCCCAUGCUGAGCCCAGCCCUGUGCCUGAUCCGUCAUCAAGGGCAACCCAGCUGGUGUUUCAGGAAGAACCCAGCCUUCAAAGUUGACUUCAAAUUGCUAUGAAUCACCCUAUCUGAUGCAAAUGUGGGCUUGGGUAGACUCGGAGAUAGCUGAUUGCCUCAGAUUAAUCCACAGUUGCCUCGGCAGGUAAUUUACUUCUGGGAGUUUCAGGGACUAAGAAGAACAAGGCAUUUGCAUAAAUAGACUAAACUCAGAGUCCAGGCAGCCAGCCGGUUCUCUGACUGGCAGCUCCUGGUGACAGAGGACUCCCAUGAUUCUGGACCCCACCCACCUAUCCAUAUCCCAUACGUGAAAAGCAUCCUUGAAGUCCGGCCAUGGUCCCCAGCCACUGCCCCUGAUAAGUGGGUGCUCCACCGCAAUGCCCCUCAGCAGGUGGUCUGUCUCUCCACAUUUCCGUGACUUUUGCUGCAACCAAAUUCUUUCUUGCCCUGGGUAGCGAUCCACCAUCAUGGCUCCAGUCACCCUCCAGGUCAACUGGCUUUGUCCUGGGAUGUUCCUUCAUGCGUUUGAAGUGUUCCCUGGCUUCUCUGUGCAGACCAAAGCCCUGGACUUCCUAAUACAGCAGGGUUCUGGAACGCUCCACCAUCUGGUCAGCCUCCUCCAGGCUUCCUUUCCUUACAGCCUUCCUCUGAGAAUGUGGCAGCCAUACCAGGGGUGGGCUCACCAGUAUCACCUCCCUUGUUUCAGCCACUGUACUCCUAUUAAUAUGACCUGGCCUUUUGGACAGCUCAACCGCAUGGUGUCUCGUAAUAAGAUUUAGAGUUAACUAAACACGCCCUUUGUAAAAUGGGCACUGUUUGGCCUCCUUUCUCCCAGCUGGUAGCUGUUCUGUUGAGGUUUGGAGCUAAAUACUACACUUAGUAUUUAUUUCUGUGUGUGUGUGUGUGUGUGUGUGUGUGUGUGUGUAUUUGUAUUUUUACGCCCACACCCUUGGCAUAUGGAGGCUCCCAGGCUAGGGGCCGAGUCAGAGCUGUAGCUGCCAGCCUACACCACAGCUCACAGCAACGCCAGAUCCUUAACCCACUGAGCGAGGCCAGGGAGCGAACCCUCAACGUCAUGGUUCCUCGUCAGAUUCGUUUCCACUGCACCACAACGGGAACUCCCUAUUCCUGUUAUAUAUUGUCGUUUUAAUUUGACCUGUCCUUCCGUCCCUGUCACUCACAGUAAUUUUCUGCCAUUUGGAAACCUGUUACAAACGCCUUCGGUGGCUUGACCCAGGUUAUUAUUUAAAAAGCAUUUUCUGUUAUGGAUGCGGUUAAUCAUUACAGUCAGCAGCUUGCUUUUCUCUACCUUUUUUCAAAAGGCAAUAUGCUAAUGGCUUUGCUAAAAUAUCUUAAAAUGUUAGCGCCGGAAGAGAUGCUAAGGACAUGUGCUUCAAUUCCUUCAUUUGACGGAGGAGGGAACUGAGGCAGAGGGGUGCCAGGGACCAUGGAGACCUCCGAUCUGUGGCAGAGCCAGGCGCUGUGACUCAAAUAUUCCAACCCAGGUAUCCUUUGGAUAUUUGUGCAGAAAAACAAAAAAAAAAAAGAUGAUGGGCAUAUGGCACCAUGUCUACUGGAGGAUUCCAAGAGCAGACAACAGAAUCUUGGGGAGGAGGAGCUUGGUGGCUUAAAAGCCACAGCUGCCCAUCAGCUGAUGAAUAAACACCACGUGCUCUGGCCUUUUCGAGGCAGGUUAUCCAGCAGCCCCGGAAAGAAAUGAGGCAUUGGCUCACAGCAACAUGGGUGGCUCUUGACAAUAUUCUGGUGCGUGAAAGAAGCCAAUCACAAGUAUUGUGUGAUUCCUCUAAUGCAAAACAUCCACAAUAGCCAAACCCACAGAGAGAGAAAGCAGUGCGUGCGUGCCAGGGCCUGCAGAUGGAGGGGGAGACCA
rnacentral:lncRNA from 1 species